UCNUAGUGUAGCGGUGAAAUGCGUAGAUAUUAGGAAGAACACCAGUGGCGAAGGCGACUUUCUGGACGAAAACUGACGCUGAGGCGCGAAAGCCAGGGGAGCGAACGGGAUUAGAUACCCCGGUAGUCCUGNCCGUAAACGAUGGGUACUAGGUGUAGGAGGUAUCGACCCCUUCUGUGCCGGAGUUAACGCAAUAAGUACCCCGCCUGGGGAGUACGACCGCAAGGUUGAAACUCAAAGGAAUUGACGGGGGCCCGCACAAGCGGUGGAGUAUGUGGUUUAAUUCGACGCAACGCGAAGAACCUUACCAGGUCUUGACAUUGAUGGACAGAACCAGAGAUGGUUCCUCUUCCUCGGAAGCCAGAAAACAGGUGGUGCACGGUUGUCGUCAGCUCGUGUCGUGAGAUGUUGGGUUAAGUCNNNNAANANNNNNCAACCCCUAUCUUAUGUUGCCAGCACGUAAAGGUGGGAACUCAUGAGAGACUGCCGCAGACAAUGCGGAGGAAGGCGGGGAUGACGUCAAAUCAUCAUGCCCCUUAUGACCUGGGCUACACACGUACUACAAUGGGAGUUAAUAGACGGAAGCGAGAUCGCGAGAUGGAGCAAACCCGAGAAACACUCUCUCAGUUCGGAUCGUAGGCUGCAACUCGCCUACGUGAAGUCGGAAUCGCUAGUAAUCGCAGGUCAGCAUACUGCGGUGAAUACGUUCCCGGGCCU
rnacentral:rRNA from 1 species